rnacentral:rRNA from 1 species
AUGUUCUUCCCUGGGCUCUCGCGCCAGCACGGUGCUCCCGAAGCUUCUCCGUACGACGACGACAGAGACCACAGCUUGGUGGUGCUCCUGACCUUCGCCAUCUUCUUCUCCUUCGUCGUUCUCUACCUCAUCGCCGGCGUUCUCUGGGCCUCGGUGAUCACCGCCUUCGCGGUCGCGGUCUCGUUCUGCUACCUCAGCGCCCGCCGGCGUGCUGCGCUGAGGCGCGGCGAGGUCGUCGUCGUCAGCGUGCGUCUCGCUCGGAGCAACGGUGGCCUGCGUCAUCCUGACCCCGCCGUGUCAAGGCUUCCGACGUUCCCGUACAAGAGGGAGGGCGGCGGCGGCGACACGGUGGCAGCUGGGUCGGGGUGGGCGCAGUGCGUCAUAUGCCUGGGGCUCGUGCAGGUCGGCGAGAUGGUCCGGCAGCUGCCGGCGUGCAAGCAUAUGUUCCACGUGGACUGCGUCGACGUGUGGCUGCGCUCCCACUCGACGUGCCCUAUCUGCCGCGCUGUCGUCAUCGAGCUCACCGUCGGGCAGUCAUCUGAGCCGCCUCCCGUUUGA